rnacentral:rRNA from 1 species
UCGUGUCGUGAGAUGUUCGGGUUAAGUCCCGCAACGAGCGCAACCCUUGUCACUAGUUGCCAUCAUUUAGUUGGGCACUCUAGUGAGACUGCCGGUGACAAACCGGAGGAAGGUGGGGAUGACGUCAAGUCCUCAUGGCCCUUAUGGGUAGGGCUUCACACGUCAUACAAUGGUCGGUACAGAGGGUUGCCAAGCCGCGAGGUGGAGCCAAUCCCUUAAAGCCGAUCGUAGUCCGGAUCGUAGUCUGCAACUCGACUACGUGAAGUCGGAAUCGCUAGUAAUCGCAGAUCAGCAUGCUGCGGUGAAUACGUUCCCGGGUCUU